CGGUAGGGCGGGGCUAUGGCGGGCGCGGGGCCGCCCGUCCCCUCCUGCCUGCUGCUGGGGGCGGCGGGCGGCGGGAAGAGCCUCCUCGCGCGGCGGCUGCGUCAGCUGAGCGCGGCGGAGGCGCCGGCGGAGCUGGGCGAGCCCCCGGCCACGCUGCCCACGGUGGGCACCAACCUGACCGACCUGCGGCUGCCGCGGCGGGUGACGGUGCGGGAGGUGGGCGGCUGCAUGGGCCCCAUCUGGCACAGCUACUACGGGGAGUGCAGCGUGCUCCUGUUCGUGGUGGACGCCGCCAACCCCACCCAGGUCUCCUCGUCCUGUGUCCAGCUGCUCUCUGUGCUCUCUGCCGCACCGCUGAGCUCCGUGCCCGUCCUCGUCCUCUUCAAUAAGAUUGACCUGCCCUGCUACAUGUCUCCGUGGGAGAUGAAGUCGCUGUUCCGCAUGCAGGACAUCGUCUCCUGUGCCACGCAGCCCAUCACAGUGCUGGACACCAGCGCCCGUGACAGCACCGGCCUGGCCCAGGUCCUGCAGUGGCUCCGGGCCACCCUCGAAGACCCCCGCUGACCCCGGCCCUGCAGCAGGCUGGGCCAGUCCCUCCCCGAGCUGCCUUGUGCUUGAAAACCAUGGCUUUUGGGGAAGGGAUGAGCAGGAAUGAUAGAAUCACAGAACAUCAGGGGUUGGAAGGGACCUCUAGGGAUCAUGAAGUCCAACCCCCCUCCCACAGCAGGAUCACGCAGGACAGGCCACACAGGAACACAUCCAGCUCUGGGCAGCAGGAUCACUCGUGUCCCCGUGGAGCUGCCACAGAAUGUCCCAGUGGUUCCUUGGCUGUUGCAACCCAGAGGAGA